AUUCCAUGAUGAGGGCAAGCUUCAGUUAGCUCAUUUAAUCUUUCCCAUGCUUCAGCAAUUGACUCCCCAUCAUUUUGAUUGAAUUUAUGGAUGAGGUG
rfam:Lupinus angustifolius cultivar Tanjil contig_3743, whole genome shotgun sequence.